UAUCUUACGCAUCAAAUUACUACCACCUACGUCUAAUGAUAAGUGUGGUAUACAAUUUUAUCGGGAACAAUUUUAGAUAUACGUAUAUGUAGAUGUACCACAUUUAAUGUUAUGAUUUGUACUUUGCAUAUUGCAUUAAAGUUUGGUACUGGCAUUUAAUUAGAAAACUGAGCAGAGAUCUUACUCAAUAUAUUAGUGCUCAAUUGUUAUUCAACUAUAGAAAAGAUAAUAAUAAAUGGAAUUGAAAAGCAAGGUACUCGUCUAUGGUGUUAAUAAUAUUUGAGGAUAUAAUAAGCACAAUUGAAAGAAAGAAUUAUAUAUAUGAUACUGUUUCAAUGAACUGAAUUCUCGAAACUGAAUUCGUAUGGGAAUAAUUUGUACGAAGACGAGUUCGGAUGCGCGAUUAUAAAAUAUUCUGUCCUUAUUUUAAUUUCAUAAUUAAUAUUAAUUCAAAUCACAACUAAUGGGCAAUGUUGGGGCCAAGAAACCCUGAUGCGCCAUCUCCGUGUGUCUGCGAAGACAAAAGGCAUCGUCUCCAGCGUGCGAAAAAAAAACAUGCACGCGCGCUACAUACACAUAAAGACGCUUGCCAACUUCAGUCGUGAGAUAAAUCCUCGUCAGUGGAUAAAUAUCUCGGCCUUCAUGUGGUGGUUCCAUAAAAACAAGAUUCUAAGUGGCUUAACCAUGGAAACUUCCUUUAACGCGUUCACUGGAGCAACGUCGAUGCCGUGAGAACGUCCGGCACGACUGGCUUCGGAGGGGGGUCCAAACAUCACACUCUCAUCUCACUCAUCGUAGCUUGGGACACACGACUCGAUACGGUGGCAUUCUGCAACAGGGGCUGGUUCUCGGGAGAACUCUUUGCUCGGGGGGGUGGAGGUGUUGCUCUUGGUAGUGUCAGAUGUAAUUUGUACGGUAAAAACGGAAGGACCAUUUUGAUAUUUUCUUAGGAAAUAAAGCGAUUUAGCGGAGCAAUUUAAUUAUCGAGCAUGAAAGACCAAAAGAUGGUGCGAUGUGCUGUAAAAAAAUAAACGUCACAUUUUGUAUGUCGAACUAAUUUUUAAUUCGAUCGUCACCUCUGUGAGAACGCCAGGAAAUUUCGCUUCGUUAAUUCGCACCAUGUCUUUCAGGAAGGUUCUAGAACUUUCCAGGGGAAAUUGAAAUUUUCGGCGAAAAAAGAAACGAAAAUCGAAAUAAGUAUGAUGGAAAAAGACGAAAGUUUGAGAUUCGUUUUAAUGAAGUUUGUCGCCGUCCUCAUCUCCACCAAAUCUACGGAAAUUCGCUAACAGGAUAAAAGGGAUGGUACCAUCCGCCGUCAAAAUAAUCACCGCGCCGUGGAACGUCAAGAAGAAGCUUCACCGUUGUAAAUUUCACCUGGUCAGACUUUAGCAGUUUUAAAAGCUCCUUAAUAAGAUUAUGAAUGGAGCUUCCACCAAAGGCCGUAGCUCGUUAAAACAGCGGAAGUUUCUUAAAUCAACAUGUUGAGUACAGAGGUCCUCGAUCUUAAUGUCAUGAACAAAUUCCCUGUUUUUGGUUGAUGGAUAUUACGAGAUAUUCCGUUUGUAGUAUAUACUCUACGUUUUUUUUCAAGACAAGAUAGUUGAUAUUGAACAUCGUGUUCAAAUUUUGUUCGAUGCGACGUCUAGAUUGUCUUGAUUAUGGUGCAAGAAGGGAUUUAUCUCGUUUGAGGAGAAAUUUCGUACAUGAGUAGGGCAAUUUUUGGGAACGGUGUACAAAUGAAAUAAAUGGAAUCCGAUAGAGUAAUAAAAAGAGAUUAAUACAAAAACAAGGAGAGGUAUGGAAUUUUUGAUUGACGAUGGAAUUUUAUGAGACUCCAUUCCUCUAUCUAAUUGCGAUACGCAAACGUUGGAGUAAAAUGACUG